AUUGAAAGCUGGCGGCAGGCCUAACACAUGCAAGUCGAACGAGUGGCGGACGGGUGAGUAAUGUCUGGGAAACUGCCCGAUGGAGGGGGAUAACUACUGGAAACGGUAGCUCAUACCGCAUACCAUCGGAUGUGCCCAGAUGGGAUUAGCUAGUAGGUGUGGUAACGGCUCACCUAGGCGACCAUCCCUAGCUGGUCUGAGAGGAGGCACAGCCACACUGGACCGGAGACACGGUCCAGACUCCUACGUGAGGCAGCAGUGGGGAAUAUUGCACAAUGGGCUCAAGCCUGAUGCAGCCAUGCCGCGUGUAUGAAGAAGGCCGUCGGGUUGUAAAGUACUUUCAGCGGGGAGGCGUUACCCGCAUAAGAAGCACCGGCUAACUCCGUGCCAGCCGCCGCGGUAAUUC
rnacentral:rRNA from 1 species